rnacentral:rRNA from 1 species
AAUGAACGCUGGCGGCAUGCCUAACACAUGCAAGUCGAACGAAAACACGAGGAGUAUUGGCGCCUGGCUGAGGAAUGGGGGGGGGGAGUAACAUGUGUAGGACAUACCUCUAAGAAUGGGGUAACUUAGGGGAACCGGAUCUUAUACCCGAAUAUCUAUUGAACAGCAAGGUGCAAGAGUUAAAGGCGGUUUUGCUUUGGCUUAUAGCUGAAGGCGGGGCCCAUUAGCUAGUUGGUAGGGUAACGGCUUAGCAAGGCAACGACUCGUAGCCGACCUGAGAGGGUGACCAGCCACACUGGAACUGAGACACGGUCCAGACUCCUACGGGAGGCAGCAGUGGGGAAUCUUGCGCAAUGGGCGAAAGCCUGAUGGAGCAAUGCCGCGUGAAUGAUGAAGGUCUUCGGAUCGUAAAGUGCUGUUAGCAGGGAGGAAGGAAAGAGAGUUUAUACAUGUGCUUAUUGACGUUACCCGAAGAAGAAGCCCCGGCUAACUCCGUG